UACGAAGGGGGCUGGCGUUGUUCGGAAUCACUGGGCGUAAAGCGUACGUAGGCGAACCAUUAAGUCGGGGGUGAAAUCCCAGGGCUCAACCCUGGAACUGCCUUCGAUACUGGUGGUCUGGAGUCCGGGAGAGGUGAGUGGAACUCCUAGUGUAGAGGUGAAAUUCGUAGAUAUUAGGAAGAACACCAGUGGCGAAGGCGGCUCACUGGCCCGGUACUGACGCUGAGGUACGAAAGCGUGGGGAGCAAACAGG
rnacentral:rRNA from 1 species